rnacentral:rRNA from 1 species
GCGGACGGGUGAGUAACACGUGGGUAACCUGCCUGUAAGACUGGGAUAACUCCGGGAAACCGGGGCUAAUACCGGAUAACACCUACCCCCGCAUGGGGGAAGGUUGAAAGGUGGCUUCCGCUAUCACUUACAGAUGGACCCGCGGCGCAUUAGCUAGUUGGUGAGGUAACGGCUCACCAAGGCGACGAUGCGUAGCCGACCUGARAGGGUGAUCGGCCACACUGGGACUGAGACACGGCCCAGACUCCUACGGGAGGCAGCAGUAGGGAAUCUUCCGCAAUGGACGAAAGUCUGACGGAACAACGCCGCGUGAGUGAAGAAGGUUUUCGGAUCGUAAAACUCUGUUGUUASGGAAGAACAAGUGCCGUUCSAAUAGGGCGGCACCUUGACGGGACCUAACCAGAAAGCCACGGCUAACUACGUGCCAGCAGCCGCGGUAAUAUUCAUGUGGCAAGCGUUGUCCGGAAUUAUUGGGCGUAAAGCGCGCGCAGGUGGUUUCUUAAGUCUGAUGUGAAAGCCCACG